CUCCCAGUGGCACAAUGGGUCAGUUAGUGUGUCUGGCUGUUAACCAGCUGGUUGGUGGUUUGAGCCCACCCAGGGAUG